AGCCUCCAGGUAAGGAGCGCAGUGAAUCAUCCCGCGAGGAGGGACCAGCGCUCUCUCGCCUCAGCGAGGCGGGGAGUGGCCGUGGCGCUGCCGAGAAGCUGGGGCCGCCCGCCGCUGUCCCGCGGGAAGCCGCGCUUGGGCCAGCCCGCGGCCCGGGGAGGCGCAGGAAGAGAGAAUUUGAAUAGAUGACUUUGAAGACUACAGAACUGAGAUACAAAGAUUUUGAAGUGAUUCUACAUCUGAAGCUAUGAUUUAAAUAUCAGCAUUACAAUUCCCAACUCCUUGAACCUGGCCCAUGGAUGGUAUGAGAAGGAUGACAGAAAGGCUUUGGCAUGAUUUGGCUUGCUCCCUGCUCUGCUUCAAGGAUGUGGCCUGGGUCAUGGUGCAAGUGAACCAGGGCCUCUGAGCAUCUUUUUGAGGUGGAGAGCAAGAACUUGACCCUGUCAAAAGCUGUACCUCCAAAUAGCCUGCUCAAAUACUUACGGAAAGAAGAGACCACGUUUACUAAAGCAAUAAAAUGGAUAAAAUAUCAAGGAAUAACUUAACAUGAAAUAUGUGAAAUCUAUGUGUAGAAACCUGUUAAACAUUCCUAAAGAAUUCAAAAAGAAUUUGAAAAAAAAAGUAGAAUGGCAUACCUCAUGUUCUAGAAUAGGAAAAUUCAAGAUCAUGAAUAUAUCCUUUUUUUCCUCAGUUCCACACAUUCCUAAUAAAAUAUCCACUACUUAAAAAAAAAAAAAAAAAGUAGUUAAGUGGA